UACGUAUGUCGCGAGCGUUAUCCGGAAUUAUUGGGCAUAAGGGCAUCUAGGCGGCCUGACAAGUCAGGGGUGAAAACCUGCGGCUCAACCGCAGGCCUGCCUUUGAAACUGUGAGGCUGGAGUACCGGAGAGGUGGACGGAGCUGCACGAGUAGAGGUGAAAUUCGUAGAUAUGUGCAGGAAUGCCGAUGAUGAAGAUAGUUCACUGGACGGUAACUGACGCUGAAGUGCGAAAGCCGGGGGAGCGAACAGGAUUAGAUACCCUGGUAGUCCCGGCUGUAAACGAUGAUUACUGGGUGUGGGCAGGAAGACUGUCUGUGCCGAAGCAAAUGCGAUAAGUAAUCCGCCUGGGGAGUACGGCCGCAAGGCUGAAACUC
rnacentral:rRNA from 1 species